GACAAACCAUUCCUUUGAUGGGCUCUUCCUUUACUCAUCUGGUCAGCUUGUUUAGCGGCAGUUGUGUCAAAUCAACAAGGAGUUUUUGGUGGAAGAAAGCUUUCAGUGAUGAAAUCUUCCUGAUUCAUCCCAAUGAUGGAGGAAAGGAAAAUGCUAGGUCAUCAAUUCAAAAUCUGAAACAACGAGAAGACUUCCAGUGUCCUAGCCAGAUAUAUUAUCUUUGUUCCAGAGUGCUGACCACUGUUAAAGUUUCUCAAAGCAACGUGAAGUAA
rnacentral:lncRNA from 1 species